CUGGUAUUAAAUGCAGUCUUCCACUCGUGGUUUUCCUUGAUUCUCACUAAAUUGUAAGCACUUCUAAGAUCAAGCUUAGUAAACACUUUAGCACCCUGGAAUCUGUCAAAUAAUUUAGCAAUAAGAGGAAUGGGGUAGGCGUUCUUAAUGGUGAUUUUGUUCAAUGCCCUGUAAUCGAUACAUGGGUUCAACUCACCAUCCUUUUUAGAUACAAAAAAGAAUCCUGCACCAGCAGGCGAGGAUGAUUUUCGUAUAUGGCCUUUAUUCAUUGAAUCCUUAAUAUAUUCCUCCAUAUAUUCCUGAGGAGAUAGAGCAUAGACUGCUCCCUUAGGUGGCAUAGCACCGGGUAGUAAGUUAAUGGAACAGUCAUAUGGUCUAUGAGGAGGUAGCGUAUUAGACUGAGUCUUGCUGAAUACUUCUUUAAUGUCAUGGUAUUGUAUAGGAAUCUCAGGAUUUUGAGAUGUACUAGUGGGUAAUUCGAUAGUGCCCACUCUUUUUGUGACAUGCAAUAUAC